rnacentral:rRNA from 1 species
GGGUAAGUCGGGACCUAAGGCGAGGCCGAAAGGCGUAGUCGAAGGACAACAGUUUGAAAUUACUGUACCACCGUAAUCCGCUAUGAGCGAUGGGGUGACGCAGGAGGGUAGUGACGCGGACUGAUGGAUAUGUCCGUCUAAGCAGUGAAGAGGCAGACCAGGGGAACUGAAACAUCUAAGUACCCUGAGGAAGAGAAAACAAUAGUGAUUCCGUCAGUAGCGGCGAGCGAACGCGGAACAGCCUAAACCAAGGGGCUUGCCCCUUGGGGUUGUGGGACGUCUCACAUGGAGUUACAAAGGAAUAUGGUAGGCGAAGAGGUCUGGAAAGGCCCGCGAUAGAGGUAAAAGCCCUGUAGCCUAAACUGUGUUCUCUCCGAGACGGAUCCCGAGUAGUGCGGGGCACGUGAAACCCCGUAUGAAUCCAGCAGGACCAUCUGCUAAGGCUAAAUACUACCUGGCGACCGAUAGUGAAACAGUACCGUGAGGGAAAGGUGAAAAGCACCCCGGAAGGGGAGUGAAAUAGAACCUGAAACCGUGUGCUUACAAAAAGUCAGAGCCCGAUCUAUGGGUGAUGGCGUGCCUUUUGUAGAAUGAACCGGCGAGUUACGUUUAACAUGCAAGGUUAAGGUGAGAAGCCGGAGCCGCAGCGAAAGCGAGUCUGAAUAGGGCGACUAAGUAUGUGGACGUAGACCCGAAACCGUGUGAUCUACCCCUGUCCAGGGUGAAGGUGCGGUAACACGCACUGGAGGCCCGAACCCACGCAUGUUGAAAAAUGCGGGGAUGAGGUGGGGGUAGCGGAGAAAUUCCAAUCGAACUCGGAGAUAGCUGGUUCUCCCCGAAAUAGCUUUAGGGCUAGCCUCGGUGAAUGGAGUGGUGGAGGUAGAGCACUGAUUGGGUGCGGGGCCCGCAAGGGUUACCAAGCUCAGUCAAACUCCGAAUGCCAUUAACUUCUUGCCGGGAGUCAGACAGUGAGUGCUAAGAUCCAUUGUCAAAAGGGAAACAGCCCAGACCAUCAGCUAAGGUCCCCAAGUGUGUGUUAAGUGGGAAAGGAUGUGGAGUUGCACAGACAACCAGGAUGUUGGCUUAGAAGCAGCCACCAUUGAAAGAGUGCGUAAUAGCUCACUGGUCGAGUGACUCUGCGCCGAAAAUGUAACGGGGCUAAACACACCACCGAAGCUAUGGCUAGAUGCUUUGCAUCUGGGGUAGGGGAGCGUUGUAUGUGGGUUGAAGGUGUACCGUAAGGAGCGCUGGACAGCAUACAAGUGAGAAUGCCGGUAUGAGUAACGAAAAGAUCAGUGAGAAUCUGAUCCGCCGAAAGCCCAAGGUUUCCUGAGGAAGGCUCGUCCGCUCAGGGUAAGUCGGGACCUAAGGCGAGGCCGAAAGGCGUAGUCGAAGGACAACAGUUUGAAAUUACUGUACCACCGUAAUCCGCUAUGAGCGAUGGGGUGACGCAGGAGGGUAGUGACGCGGACUGAUGGAUAUGUCCGUCUAAGCAGUGAAGCUGAUGUGUAGGCAAAUCCGCACAUCAAUAAGGCUGGGCUGUGAUGGGGAGCGAAAAUUGUAGUAGCGAAGCUGGGGUAGGGGAGCGUUGUAUGUAGGUUGAAGGUGUACCGUAAGGAGCGCUGGACAGCAUACAAGUGAGAAUGCCGGUAUGAGUAACGAAAAGAUCAGUGAGAAUCUGAUCCGCCGAAAGCCCAAGGUUUCCUGAGGAAGGCUCGUCCGCUCAGGGUAAGUCGGGACCUAAGGCGAGGCCGAAAGGCGUAGUCGAAGGACAACAGUUUGAAAUUACUGUACCACCGUAAUCCGCUAUGAGCGAUGGGGUGACGCAGGAGGGUAGUGACGCGGACUGAUGGAUAUGUCCGUCUAAGCAGUGAAGCUGAUGUGUAGGCAAAUCCGCACAUCAAUAAGGCUGGGCUGUGAUGGGGAGCGAAAAUUGUAGUAGCGAAGGUCAUGAUCUCACACUGCCAAGAAAAGCCUCUAGCCAGGAGAAGGUGCCCGUACCGCAAACCGACACAGGUAGGCGAGAAGAGAAUUCUAAGGCGCGCGGAAGAACUCUCGUUAAGGAACUCGGCAAAAUGACCUCGUAACUUCGGGAGAAGAGGUGCCUCGGUAGGGUGAAUAGCCCGAGGGGGCCGCAGUGAAAAGGCCCAAGCGACUGUUUAGCAAAAACACAGGUCUGUGCGAAGCCGCAAGGCGAAGUAUACGGGCUGACGCCUGCCCGGUGCUGGAAGGUUAAGGGGAGUGGUUAGGCCGAAGCUGUGAACCGAAGCCCCAGUAAACGGCGGCCGUAACUAUAACGGUCCUAAGGUAGCGAAAUUCCUUGUCAGGUAAAUUCUGACCCGCACGAAUGGCGUAACGACUUGGGCGCUGUCUCAACGAGAGAUCCGGUGAAAUUUUAAUACCUGUGAAGAUGCAGGUUACCCGCGACAAGACGGAAAGACCCCAUGGAGCUUUACUGCAGCUUGAUAUUGAAUUUGGGUACGAUCUGUACAGGAUAGGUGGGAGCCGUUGAGGCAGGAGCGCAAGCUUCUGCGGAGGCGCCGUUGGGAUACCACCCUGAUCGUAUCUAGGUUCUAACCUAGUGCCCUUACCGGGUACGGGGACCGUGUCAGGCGGGCAGUUUGACUGGGGCGGUCGCCUCCUAAAGAGUAACGGAGGCGUUCAAAGGUUCCCUCAGAAUGGUUGGAAAUCAUUCGCAGAGUGCAAAGGCAUAAGGGAGCUUGACUGCGAGACCUACAAGUCGAGCAGGGACGAAAGUCGGACUUAGUGAUCCGGUGGUACCGCAUGGAAGGGCCAUCGCUCAACGGAUAAAAGCUACCCUGGGGAUAACAGGCUUAUCUCCCCCAAGAGUCCACAUCGACGGGGAGGUUUGGCACCUCGAUGUCGGCUCAUCGCAUCCUGGGGCUGAAGUAGGUCCCAAGGGUUGGGCUGUUCGCCCAUUAAAGCGGUACGCGAGCUGGGUUCAGAACGUCGUGAGACAGUUCGGUCCCUAUCUGUCGUGGGCGCAGGAAAUUUGAGAGGAGCUGUCCUUAGUACGAGAGGACCGGGAUGGACGUACCGCUGGUGCAUCAGUUGUUCCGCCAGGAGCAUGGCUGAGUAGCUACGUACGGACGGGAUAAGCGCUGAAAGCAUCUAAGCGUGAAGCCCCCCUCAAGAUGAGAUUUCCCAAUUAGUAAGACCCCUUGAAGACGACGAGGUAGAUAGGUUGGAGGUGGAAGUGCAGCAAUGCAUGGAGCUGACCAAUACUAAUCGGUCGAGGGCUUAUCCAA